UACGUAGGGACCAAGCGUUGUUCGGAUUUACUGGGCGUAAAGGGCGCGUAGGCGGCAAUUCAAGUCAGCUGUGAAAUCUCCGGGCUUAACUCGGAAAGGUCAACUGAUACUGUGCGACUAGAGUGCAGAAGGGGCAACUGGAAUUCUCGGUGUAGCGGUGAAAUGCGUAGAUAUCGAGAGGAACACCUGCGGCGAAGGCGGGUUGCUGGGCUGACACUGACGCUGAUGACGCGAAAGCCCAGGGAGCGAACGGG
rnacentral:rRNA from 1 species